CUGAAAAAUCCUUAAAGCAAGUAAAGGAAAAGUGUGGCCUUAGCGUCAAGGAAAAGUGUGGCCUUAGUGUAAAGGAAAAGUGUGGCCUUAGCAUCAAGGAAAAGUGUGGCCUUAGUGUAAAGGAAAAGUGUGGCCUUAGAGUGAAGGAAAAGUGUGGCCUUAGCAUAAAGGAAAAGUGUGGCCUUAGCAUAAAGGAAAAGUGUGGCCUUAGCAUGCACCUAGUGGAUGAACAACUUAUGUGUGGUGGAACUUGUUACGUUUUUUGGUACCCUCCAUGGUCCUGAUCCUGAAAUUGAUAGAAUGCAUAGAUGCACAACAGCAUUCCCGCUUGAUUCGUCAGGUCUGCACUACUUAGAGCAACAGUUGUGGUGCAGGCUCUCCUCCCAUAUUAAACCAUUAUUAUUUUUUUAUGCAAGCCAACCUGUUGUGGAGGAGAAACUGAAAAAUCCUAAAAGCAAGUAAAGGAAAAGUGUGGCCUUAGCGUCAAGGAAAAGUGUGGCCUUAGUGUAAAGGAAAAAUGUGCCCUUAGUGUAAAGGAAAAGUGUGGCCUUAGAGUGAAGAAAAAGUGUGGCCUUAGCAUCAAGGAAAAGUGUGGCCUUAGCAUCAAGGAAAAGUGUGGCAUUAGCAUCAAGGAAAAGUGUGGCCUUAGCAUCAAGGAAAAGUGUGGCCUUCGCAUCAAGGAAAAGUGUGGCCUUAGUGUAAAGGAAAAGUGUGGCCUUAGAGUGAAGGAAAAGUGUGGCCUUAGCAUAAAGGAAAAGGGUGGCCUUAGCAUCAAGGAAAAGUGGCCUUAUCGUAAAGGAAAAGUGUGGCCUUAGCAUGCACCUAGUGGAUGAACAACUUAUGUGUGGUGGAACUUGUUACGUUUUUUGGUACCCUCCAUGGACAAAAUGUGAUAAUUGAGAGGGAGACAUCAGUUGGAGUGACUUACUGCACACAUAUAGAUGAUGUCAUCUUCACACAUAUAGAUGAUGUCAUCACAUAUGAUAUUCCCGUGAAGAUAUUGGUGUUCCAGGUGAUGUGAUUAGGUGAUGUGAUUGGAGGUUGUUUGCAUGUAGACUUGUGGUUUAAUCAGCACUGACGCACAUGUAGACGUCGGAGACAUCGCAAGAUGUGGGAACCAGGGACACAGGAACAAAAAGUCAUUGUGGUGAGUCAUGUUAAGUGAAAUGGGUUUCAGAUACUGCCAGGAAGUAUUAGACGGAACAGAUUAAUUCUACCAUUCUGUUGUCCACAUUUGUGAUCAAUACACUAUGGUGUAAUGGAAUAUGUAGAAUGCAACGAACCGAAAUGGAUCAUCCGAUUAUUGACGACCUGGGCGUGGUUGAAACAGGUCAUAAUCAGGUGGUAUAUGGAGAAAGAACAACGCAGAACGAGGAGAGCAUGUACGACAUGUAUUUCAAUACUGGUGGUGACAUCCAAGUAUAGGGGAGCAGUCCUUGCAUGAACAUGAUAGCCGUUAGUUAUUAGGUUGCUAUAAAGAAUGAGGCCAGAUCAAUUCAAUUACUUAUUUUACAGAUUUUUAACCCAAAAAUAUCUAAAG